ensembl:snRNA U6 U6 spliceosomal RNA
GUGCUCUCUUUGGCAGCACAUAUACUAAAAUUGGAAUGAUACAGAGAAGAUUAGCAUGGCCCUAAACAAGGAUGACACACAUAUUCAUGAAGCGCUCCAUAAUUUU